UCUACUUCUUCUGUGCCACUUGUCAAUGGUGGGUCUUUCAAGUUCACGGCUCAAAGUCUCCGUAGAAAGCCUCUCAGUCUCAGACUUACUGCCACCAGAUCAAAAGCCGAUGAGCCACAAGAUGCAAGCUUUCCUUUUACACUCUCUGAACUGAUUCAAACCAAUAAUUUUGUGUGUAAAACGAUGUUGGUUUUUUUUUUUGUAGGAUUAUCUUAUCGAUGCUCCUGUUUUAGCUGGUGAUGGCUUUUCUUUUAGUGGGGGGUACUUCCAUAUUUCAGUACAUUUUUUUCCAAAUGCGAUCCAUUGGUCGAGAACUUAAUGGUUGAAUUAAGUUGUGCUUCUUUUUACUGGAAAAAUAUUCAGAUGAGCCAAACCCCUCUGAUGAAUGGUUUAAGCAAGGGAAAUUUGUUAAAGCUUGUCCUGUGGGUGGCACUGGUGAGAAAGCUAAAGAUCCAAUUUUUGGACUAACCAUGGGAGCUGCCUCUCAAGCUUCAAGUGAUGUUUUCAGUAGAUGGUUUAGCGCGGAAAGUGGAAAAGCUGAUAAUCCUACGGUUAUUUUGAUUCAUGGUUUCCCAUCACAGGCAUACUCUUAUCGCAAAG